rnacentral:lncRNA from 1 species
UAUAAAAACCUUGUUGUAAAAACCUUGACCAUUAUAGUGCAUUUGCUUUCGGGUACACGAAGGACACUAGAUGUAGGCAAUUUGGCCGAUCCAAUAUAAAAACUAUGUCUGAAUUUUCUAUCCCUGAACUCUUUACUUUCAAGUCAACUUUAUUUUCUGCAUAGUCAACUAUUUUCCGCUGCAUUUGAUUUAUCUUUUUCACUGAGAUUCAAGAAACUUUUGAAAGUUUUAUACUUUAUGAAAAAUAGAGGUAUUUGGGAUGCACCAAUAAAUGGUCCUUCUGAGCCGACUCAUGUUAUCAAUGGAAAAACUGUUUUGAAAAAUUUUUCUGAGUGGUCUCAAGAUGAAAAUCGUAGAGCACGGUAUGAUGUUAAAGCAAGAAAUAUUAUUGACUCUGCAUUAUCUAUUGAUGAAUUUUUCAAGAUGUCUCAAAGGAAAAUUGCUAAAGAAAUGUGGGACGUCUUGGAAGUCACACAUGAAAGCACAAAUGAGGUCAAGAGAGCAAGAAAGAAUUCUUUAAUAUAAGAGUAUGAACUUUUCAGAAUGAGGACUGGUGAAACCAUAUAUGAAGUUCAGAAAAGGUCCACUCACAUUGUCAUCCAUUUCAUGGCUCUUGGAAUUUUUUUUUAUAAGGAGGAGAUCAACAUCAAGAUUCUUAAAAUCCUGAAUAGAAGUUGGCAACCAAAAGUUACUGCAAUCUCUGAAUCCAAGCAUCUUAUUAACAUGAACAUGGUUAUCUUGUUCGGGAAGUUAAGAGAACAUGAACUUGAACUUGGAAGACUGAAAGAUGAGGAAGAGAUUGAAUAAAAGAAGUCCAUAGCAUUGAAAGCUAACAGUAUGAAAGCCUCAAAGAUUGCACAAUCAGAGGAUGAUUCAGAUGCUUUGUUGGACAACAAUAAACAGAUGUCUGUGGUGGUAAGGAAAUUCAAUAGAUUUAUGAAGAAUACUAGUCAACUAACUAACCAUGCAGGAAAUACGAAAGCCAAGAAAGCUUCAAGAUCAAAUAUAGUUCAAUGUUAUGAAUGCGAAAAGGAACGACACAUCAAGCCUGAUUGUCCAGAUCUGAAGUUGAAGCAAAAAGCUAACAAGAGGUUUCCUCAGCACAAGAACAGAAAGCAAAAGAGUGUUUAUAUUGCCUGGGAGAACAAUGAUUCAUAAUCCUCAAGUGAUGAAGAUUGUGAUCGUGAGGAGGAAUCAAACAUAUGCUUCAUGGCUGGAACAUCACCGACAGAUUAUGAGAGUGAUACAAAGAUCGAGAAAGAACCUAUUGAGGUGUACGACCUGUUGCUGGAUGCAUUUCAAGAAAUACACGUUGAAGCAAUGUGACUGCAAUAUAAGGUCAAUCGACUUAACUCUGAAAGAAAGUAUUAUGAGUAUAGAAUUAAUAAUCUCGUCAAUGAUAAUGAGAAAUUGCAAAAAGAGUUAGGUGCUGCUUUAUUAUCUGCUAAAACUGUAAUAAUUGAGACUAUAACAGUUGAAAAGAUUUGUGAAAAAUGUCCUCCUCAUGUUGAACAAAUAGAUUAUUUUACUAGCACGCUAGCUAAGUUCACUCAAGGUAGAGAUAAUUUGAAAUGUUGUUUUAAAGUCUUCAGGUAGAGUUAUAUAUAGGCAAGGCAUCAGAUAUAAAGCUCAAUCAAAUAAGACUAAUACAAACAAGUUUACUAAUUUGAGCAAACUUGUUAAACAUGCUUGUUUUUACUACGAUAACAUUGGUCAUACUAUUAGAUAUUGUUUUUACAGAAAGGUUGGCGUUCCCAAAGGCUUAUUCAAAUGGAUUCCUAAGGAACAUCUAACUGCUACUAACAAUCAAGGACCAAAAUUCAAAUGGGUACCUACAUCAAAAAUUUAAAUUAUUUUGCAGGAUAACAGUAGAUGUUGUGACAUGAUGUGAGAACUCAAGGAUGAACUAACGUGGUUAUAUCAAAUUUCUUGAGGAUCUACAAGUGGUAACAAUCGUCUUAUGUUUGCAUAAUAUUUGAUAUGCAUGAUUGUUUGAUUGCUUGAUUGGUUGUAUGAUUGUGUGAUUGUUUCUUUGUCUGUAUUGAUGUGAAAAUCAUUUUUACGACUUUUAAUCGACUGAAUUAUGAGCACAAUUGAUUGCAUGUUGUUGUAUGUGUUUUAUGUUUGUGAAAACCUUUUGUCACACAGAAGUUAACUUUGGCUUUAUUGUAAUUGAUUCUGUUUCCACUAUGCUAUUGAUAUUUUAAAUUUCAUUUGAAUAAAUUGGGCUAUAAUUUUUUGGUACGAAAUUUUUCCCUCCAAAAUCGAUUUACAAUUAGUUUAAAACCUAAAUACGCUGGAAUCAUUCAUUAAGCCUUCUUAGUAUACUCUAAAUCAUCACACACUCUCUCUCUCUCACUUUGUGUUAAACAUUCUUCGUUCUUGAGAGAUGGCCUCUAACUCUACACAAUGGAAGAGAGUUAAAUCGAUUAGUUAAUAGAUCGUGAGGCGUAUUUGUUGGGGCAAAUCGGCAAGUGUACCGAGUCGCACAAGUAAUAUAAAAUGGUAAAACCAAGUAUCGUAUCCCAGAGGACUCUCAGCGUUGAACAGUUGUGUGAAAACAAGAUUAAUUAAGGCUUAAAAUAAAAGAGAACAUAGGUUUGGAGUGCAAAAAUAAUAAAUAAAAUAAAUAUUGCAAUUGAUCAAUGGCAAAGGAGCACCAAUGUGAACGGAGGUUGAUUUAUAUGAGAUGGAUAUGUUGUUGGGGUUAGAUUUCACCAAGUUUCCUCUCAUGUAUAUAAGAAUUCUUCUUUAUGCAUUAAUGCCAACGUCCCUCACUGAAUCACUUAAACUCGAUCCCUUGGUAAAUAAGCUUGUCCCUAAUUACCAGUUCAUUCAAUUCCUAGCAUUCCUGGUAAAAAGAUGUGAAGAUCAAGAGGUUAAGACGACUAAGACUCAUACCUUCAUCCUCGAGCUAUAUAACCCUUAGGAGUAAUUGAACAAGAACCUGAAUUGAAAGGAACCUCCUGGCACUCAUGCAACUCAUAAAUCAUGCUAUUAUAUAAGCAAGAAUAAAAACAGAUGAAUUACACUAAAAAUUAAUGAAAAAGCACAUGGAAUUAAGAAUCAAUUCAAAUACAUGAGAGUUUACAAGGUUACAUCAUUCCCUAACAACAAAUAGAAAUUAGUUCCCCAUAGACAUAGGGGAACUCUAUGAACUAUGGAAGAAAGAAUGAGAAUGGAAGAUUAAGAGUAGGCUAAGAGUGUAUUGUUAUGCUCUUCUCUGUCAGGGAUGCAAAACCUAGAGCCCCAGGGUCCUUUAAAUAGUGUCAAAAGUGCUCUAGAGUGAGGACCGGUCCAAAAGAAUCAAAACAGCACAGAAACACGGCCCGAUCUACAUGAAAUCAAGCUCAAGCGUCGUAGGGAGGUCGCCCGGGCGUGAAUUAAGGGUCAUGUAAGGCUUGGGCGUUGAAAAUGGUCGGCCCGGCUACGAAGCUUCACCGCUCGGGUGUCGAGGGCCGCCGCCCAGGUGGCAGACCUCGAUUUCUCGCUUUAGCUGCGCUCCUGGUCGCUCGGGCUACGUGUUUUCCCUCCUUCUAGUGCCUUUUUGACCCCUUCUGAGCUUCCUCUUCUUGGUCUUUCAUCUCUUCUUUCAAUAUUACCUCAAUCUUUGUCAAAACAAGGGGAAUUGGUCAUAAAAUUAUUGAAAUCAACCUCAACUCUCUUGUUCACACAAUUUAUUCAAGAAGGAUGAGUACAAGCAAGUUUCUAAGUGAAAAGGGUGCUUUUGGUAUCAAAAUCAUAUCACAAAUAACGGUGUUUAAAAUCGUUAUCACAACCCAAAACUUAGAACUUUUCUUGUAACUCAGCUCUUCAGAACAAUCACUACAAUGACUCAACCUUUUUCAAAAACUUUUCUUUCAAGACAAGGAAUUACUUUUAUCAAUUCAGCAUGAAGAUCUCAGUCAAGAUGUGCAGAAGUCAAUCAAAGUCAAUGUGAUGCUCAAAUACUUCCAGCAGGUGUUAUCCUUAAGAAUGAUCAAUCAACCAAGCAAAGAUGCAAUAAAAAAUUCAGAGAACUAUUCCUCACCAGGGAAAGUGUUUCACUCAAGCACUCAAAAACAUAUCACUCAAGCAUUCAAAAGUGUCUAACUCAGCUCAAAGGUGUAUAGUGUGGUGUUUCGCUCUGCUAUAACAUUGUCACACAAAUUAAUUUUGCCUUUUAUUUAACCAUAAUCAAACAUUCUCACAAGCAGAUUAUCAUCACAAGGGCUUUUCAGGGCUUGUAACUUGGCUAGGCUAAGAAGGAAAUUGGUUUUUGUGGUCAGUAAAGUUCCUUGAGUUAAGAGAUACAUUUAUGAAUUUGUCAUUCAAGAUCAACUCUCUUUCUUUUUCCCAGCUUUCCCUUGUAUUGAGUUCUUUCUUUUCUUUUGAAUUUUCUUUUCUCACUUUUUCUUUUGCCUUUGCUUUUUACUUUUUUGCUUUUGAUUGCUCACUACCUAGAGAAGUGGGUUGUUACCUGACAAUCCCAAACUUGAACCUUUAUCAGUACCUCAUUAAAUGUUCUCAACUUAACUCUAGGCAAAGACUUUUUUUUCAAAAAGGUUUUUCAGGGCAUGCAUAAGGCUCAAGGUUCAAAGGUUAAAACAAAUUGUUCUCUUUUCAAUGGGCAAAAAUUAUGUGAAGGCUAAAAGAAUAAGGGAUAACAAAAGAUGGCCUUGUUCAUAUGGAACCUGUAAGCAAGUAGUUCAAUCACAGAAAAUUUGGGCAAAAUUAUUCAUGCUUCCAAAGUAAAAAAAUUAUUUAAAAGCAACUCUGAAGCUCAAAACUCACACAGGUAAACUCACAAGUCCUAAAAUUCAGAAAAACAUCAUGCUUAGAAUCUCAAUCAAACUUUAUCUCAAGCACCUGUUUCACACAUUGUGUGUAAUCACUUAUAUCACAUCAUCCAUCAUCUCAAAAUCAAUCAAACACCAGAAUCUCAUAAAGGAAUACUCAUCACAAAAUAAUCACAGUUAAAUCAAAGCAGUUCAAUUCAUUCAAGCAGAGAACAAUAAAAAUCAAACAAAAAUUAAAAUAAAUCAAAAACAAAAAUUAAAAUUUAAAAAGUAAAAGUUCAGAAAACUGGGUUGCGUCCCAAUAAGCGCUUCUUUAACGUCCCUAGCUUGACCCAAUCUUCGUCAUCAUAGCAUCCAUAAGUAAAUGCUGUUAGUAACAUCCAUCAAUAGAUGUCUAUUAAAGAGGAGCAUUGUGCAUUUAUAUGCUCUGAAAUCUGUGAUAUCUGCAUUGUGCAUUUGGGUUUUGAUUGUCAAACAUUCAUAAUGACAGGGGGAGCAUUGCAUGAUAGUUUAGAUAUUUAACAUGCCUACACUUAAGGGGGAGAUUAUUUUUUUAUCAUGUGAUUAUCUGUAACAGGGGGAGCAUCAUUGAUUGAUUAAUAUGUUUAAAUUGAUGCAUCUCUAGCAAAUCAUUUUAUCAGCAUAUUAUUAUCAUAAAGGAUACCUUCUUUUUUGCUAAUGCUGAAAGGGGGCGAAAGUUUGAUGUUUUUGAUUGCUUAUUUCUUGAUAUUGAUUGCGUGAUACUAGUUGAUAUAGAGUAUAUAUGUUGUCUGAUAUAUUCGUUUUAAAUCGAGAAAGACUUCAUUUGUUUGCUCUGAUAUAUUGUUAAAUCAUUUGCUCUUAUACAGUUUGAUUUUAUGAAUGAUUAUAUGAGUUAUUGUGUACAAACAUGGUUGUUUAUUAGUCAUGGUUGUGCAUCAUCAAAAGAGGGGGAGAUUAUUGAGAUUGUUGAUAAGGGGAGCAUUGGUUUAGCUAAACCUUACAAUCUCAUAGUGCUUUUGGUUUUUGAUGAUGACAACACAUUAAUAAUAACACAUGUACUUAUAUGUGUUACAUGUUCAUUACUUUCAUGUGUAUGAAUUCUUAAAGAACAUGUUUGUGUUGAUUAUGUCUAUGUAUGCAUAUUCACCGCUUUCUACAUGAGAUAUCAUCUGUGAUUGCAAAACAUAUGUUUUAGAAAAGAAAACCACAUGCACUUUGGUUCAACUUAUAUUGUGUGGUAAAACUGCAAGUUUUAAGUUGACUUCAUUAUGAAGCAAGUCGGUUAAAACUCGUGACUUUGCACAGAUUUUCAAAACGGCAUUGAAGUGACAUAGUCGACUGUAUGCGCAAGCUACUCGACUUAGUUAGUUAUGUUUUGAAUUUCUGUUUAUGCUUGUGAACUAUAACGACUAUAUUUUUUUUCUCUGACCAAACAUUAAUUGUUACUCAACUAAAUUAAAUGUGCAAUCAAUUUAGUUGGUCUAAAAGCUACUAAUUGUUAUAACUCUCAUAACUGUCUGAAUACGGUCAACUGUAUUAGUAGCGCAGUGAACUUUGGGAGCGUCUGUUUUACAGAAAACUAUAUAUAGACGUGAUUUUGUAUUCUACAUAGACUUUGGGUAAUUCUAUCUUUUUCAUUCUAUUGUUUCAGAUCUUGAUCUCUGAUAGAAAGUGAAAAGCUCCAGGAACUUAUCAAGAAGACUGUGGUGAUCAUUCUUUGAAGAGUUGCUUGACGAGUAAGCAUGAGUGUUUGCUUAAGUCUGCUUGAUCAUUCUGCAUUAAAGGUGUUCUUACGUGAUCAGAUGCUUCUCUCAAUCUUUUGAAGAUUGUGACUGCCCUAUUGUGAUUACAGGAAGAGGAUGUGCUGCUUUCUGGGAACUUUGAGGAUUAUUCAAACUUGACAAAAAAUGCAGAAGAGGGGAUUUCUUGUUGUUGUUCUUUGUAUGUUGUAUGCCUAUAUUUUGGUUAGAGGGUUAAAGAGGUGUCUUAUAUUUUGACGUGGAGGUCUCUAUAAAAACCUUGUAGUAAAAACCUUGACCAUUAUAGUGCAUUUGCUUCCGGGCAAAGAAAGGAAACUGGAUGUAGGCAGUUUGGCCGAACCAGUAUAAAAAUUGUGUUUGAAUUUUCUAUCAAUAACUCUUUACUUUCAGGUCGACUUUAUAUUUUGCAUAGUCAACUAUUUUCCACUGCACUUGAUUUAUCUUUUUCAUUGAGAUUCAAGAAACUUUUGAAAGUUCUAUACUUUACUAAAAGUAUUUUGAAAAGACUCUGAUUUUUUAUUUUCACCAAUUUACCCCCUGAUAAGUCCCAAAUUUUCCCUAUUUUUCUAGUCUUAGAAGUUUAUUUUAGUACAUUUUAGCUUUUUAUUUUCUAUAAUUAGGUUAGUUUAGUAUUUUUUCUUUAAUUUUAGAG